rnacentral:ncRNA from 1 species
UGCGAUGAGUCGAUAGAGUCAGAUCAUCAGUGAUGAUGGUUCCGCGCGAGCGGCUAGUGACUAAUAUUGAUAGCGGGAUGCGUUUUUCUGCGGGAUUGCAGAGUGUCUGGGUCACUGACAUUGUGGAGUGU